CAAAAUUACACAGGAAACGAAAUUAAAAAACAUAAAAUUGAGAUGGAACAGAACAAAACAAUACCGAGGUGCCGAAAACAUUUCCCAUCGCAUGAUUCCAGUGUUUCCCCAAUUUUUUUCUUUCGUCUUUUCUUUUGUCUUUCUUACAAUGUAAAUGACCCACAUGAGAAUAAAGCUGGCAACAAACUCCGAGAUGA
rnacentral:RNase_P_RNA from 17 species